UACGUAGGGGGCAAGCGUUGUCCGGAAUUAUUGGGCGUAAAGAGCUCGUAGGCGGUUUGUCACGUCGGAUGUGAAACCCCGGGGCUUAACUCCGGGCCUGCAUUCGAUACGGGCUGACUAGAGUUCGGCAGGGGAGACCGGAAUUCCUGGUGUAGCGGUGAAAUGCGCAGAUAUCAGGAGGAACACCGAUGGCGAAGGCAGCUCGCUGGGACGGUACUGACGCUGAGGCGCGAAAGCGUGGGGAGCAAACAGG
rnacentral:rRNA from 1 species